UACGAAGGGGGGCUAGCGUUGCUCGGAUUGACUGGGCGUAAAGGGCGCGUAGGCGGUUUGCAUAGUCAGACGUGAAAUUCCUGGGCUUAACCUGGGGGGCUGCGUUUUGAUACAUGCAGGCUUGAGUUCGGAAGAGGGUCGUGGAAUUCCCCAGUGUAGAGGUGAAAUUCGUAGAUAUUGGGAAGAACACCGGUGGCGAAGGCGGCGACCUGGUCCGAUACUGACGCUGAGGCGCGAAAAGCGUGGGGGAGCAAACAGG
rnacentral:rRNA from 1 species